CCAUCCACUAAUCAAGACUCUGCAGUAUAUCAACCCUGGCUCUUCACUCUGGCCUUUGCCCGGUUGCUCCAUUCUCUAAGGUUCAUUCAUUCCUGGAUCUCUGCUGUCAUCCUGCCUGUCACCUGCCCAGCUCAUUCUGCCUACCCUGCUCCAAUGUGAGGAUCAAGUCACGAGAAUAACAGGGCAGCUAAUCAGCAGGAAUUUGCUGCAUAUUAACAUAAUUAACAUAACUGACAACACAAUCUUUUAUUUCCUUUUGCAAAUGCUUGUUUUGGGACCUAGUAUUGGUGUGAUAAUGGAAGCAGCAAUAAAACAGAUGUUACAAGUUGUGACUGUCCAGUUUGUGCGUUUCAUACGUACGCUGAAGGGUACCUUUUGCGUAAAAUAACUACGCUGUCCCAAAGCGUGGGUAUAUGAUGCCAGAGAUGGGAACAGAUUGACCUUCUACACGGAGCCUCUGAUUUUUUUUUCACGCCCCAAAAUGUUGCUGUGUAGCGAGUCAUGAGAUGCUUGUUUUGGGACCUAGUAUUGGAGUGAUACUGGAAGCAGCAAUAUAACAGAUGUUGCAAGUUAUGUUUGGUAACUGUCCUGUUUGUGGGCAUUAUGUGGGUAUCUGCAUUAUCCUAUCAGAACUCUAGUAUAAAUGUCUUCUACUGCUUUGCUAUAUAAUGCUGGACCAUGUUGUCCCCCUGUGUGUUCUUAUAUUUACCUUGUUGUGACCACAGAAGAAGAACUUCCUUCAUUUUAGGGUGUAAGAAGCAGAAUUGUGCAUAUGUUAAUGCUGUAUAAAUAUAAAUG